rnacentral:rRNA from 1 species
ACGUAGGUCCCGAGCGUUGUCCGGAUUUAUUGGGCGUAAAGGGAGCGCAGGCGGUUUAGUAAGUCUGAAGUUAAAGGCAUUGGCUCAACCAAUGUAUGCUUUGGAAACUGUUAGACUUGAGUGCAGAAGGGGAGAGUGGAAUUCCAUGUGUAGCGGUGAAAUGCGUAGAUAUAUGGAGGAACACCGGUGGCGAAAGCGGCUCUCUGGUCUGUAACUGACGCUGAGGCUCGAAAGCGUGGGGAGCAAACAG